AUCAGUUUAAAGCUUUGGGAUUUCCUGCUUCUCUUCCUCUGGGUGAACUCCAUGGUGCGGGCAGGAAGGAGCGGGGCGGCCGGGCGGCCAAGCCGGCGGUGGCGGCGGCAGGACCAAGGAAUGAGCGCAGGGAUGUGCCCCUUGCGUCGUUGGACCGAGGCCUGGAGGAGCGCGCUGCACCGAAGGGCGCCAAGCCUUGCCUCGCCCGCGUUAGUUACACGUGGAUCGCCCGAGCAGGGGGCAGAGGGUCCCCGUCGUCCCGAGGAGUGAGGCGGAGCCCAUCAGGCCACCCUCUGAUGGUCACCAGCAGGUCACCGUGGCCAUUCGAAUGGCCCAAACACAGCUGCAACUGGUGCUUUGAUUUAUUCACCACUUGACGCCCUCAGCCGUACUUCCAGUUCACUUACUGCACUAAACUCGUUUCUGCUGUAGCGUUUUUCUUAGAGUCAAGAAAGCUUUUGCCUGAAUUAGCUUGUGGUAUACCUUUUUUUUUUACAGUCAAGAGUGCUUUUGCCUGUUGUCUGUAGAGGAAGGACCCGGGCUUUUACAGUUAUGACUACCGAUAACUGAAAACACAGCUCCCGAUCGUCGUCUUGUGUUUUAAGCGUAGUCAGGCUGUGUUAUGACAAGGAGAAGAGUAUGUGAUACUUUCACACGCCUACUCAAACAGAUGCAAAUGCAGAUCUUCCCUUGCUCUCAACAGAGUACCCUGGAGAAUCCCGUUAGCUCCAGUAAUAUUGACUGACCCUAUCACUUGGAGUAAUGACAUAAAAUUAGUAAGAGGAAAGCCAACUGAAUAUUAACGGUAGUGAUUUAUAUCCUAACUGUGUGUGCAGACACAGCCAAACCUGAAUUCUCUUGUGCAUGGUGUAGUCCAGAUGCCAUGACAGGGAGUAUACCUGGUUCUGAAAAAGCAAAUCUGGGAAAUGGGCUUAAUGGUGAAGCAAUAUCAGAAAAUAUGCCUAAUGGUAAAAUUUAUUAGACUCUGGAAAAUUAAAUUCACGAGGGAGGUUAUGGAAACCUCACAGAUUGGGUAAGGGUGUAAUUUUCUAUUAAAUUGCUAAGUGGAAAAUCCCAGAGGCAAUCAAUAUGCUACUUUUGGAAUUUUCCUAAACUUCGCUGUAAGACUUUGUGAAAGGAAACUGGGCUAACGUACUAUUUAAAAUCCUGCAUUAUAUAUUUUUGGGAGGAUGCUGAAGCAGCAAAGGUAGAUGGAUGUCAUAUGCUAAAUUGUGUGGAUCCAAUUAAUCUCUGGUACAGCACAGUGAAGUCAGGUCUGAAACCCAGCAGCAGCAUCCCUAAUCCCUAAAUUUUGUGUACAAAAAGAGUAUUUUCUCUUCUUUCUUUUUUUUUUCCCCUCCUCGACAAGCGGUCUGCUGAUUCCUGUCUGCUAACUUUAUUUACAAGACUUAGAGCACUGCUGAAACUGUUGUGUUUGACUCUCAUCCUUCCUGGGACAAUAGGAGAAUUUUUAUAAAGCAUAAGGCCUUCAUUUACUGUUCAACUCACAUGAUGCAUUUGCCAAAGGAAUGUGCUACAAAAAUGAAAAGGUCUUUUCUGUUUUCCUCCGCUACUCAAUUUUGUGAAACAUUUUGGGGUAUAAUUUAUGAAAAAGCGAUGGCAGUGUUUUAUCAACUGCUCUUUUUUCCCUUUUAGUUCUUCUUCUCUGGGUUGGAUUUUUUUUUUGCUUAAAGGCACACUCAUGAUUUGAAAUGACAUUUCAGUCUGAACACUGCACACUGCAGUUUCAAGUAACAUGAGAGUUAGCACAUCCCCUUUUUAGUAGUGUUUCUCAUUUUGCUUCUUGUGAAUUAAAGAGAUUCGCUCUUUUCUACGUGCAGAAUGAGCCUGGUCCUGCAAGCCAACCCAAUUAUGGUUACCUACAUGAGUAAAUCUUGCAAUUUUCAUUUAUGAAAGUAUUAGCCGGUUUGAAUAUCCUGCCAUCUCAUCUGCAUAAAAGUGAAUUAGAAACUAGGACAUGGUGACUUUAGGUCAAAGUCUUCUGGUUAUCCAUACAACAUGUAGGAGGAUCCAGUAGCUGAAAGCCAAGCUUUCCUUCCCGUACGGCUAGUGUUUCUCAGCCAUGACUUAGAAAAAAACUACUUCAAGAGCUCAGAGGCUCCUGUGUACAGUGCUAGAUCAUGAGCUAACCAAUUAAAUAUAAUUAAUCUAGUAAUACCUCAGUAUUAACAGCAGCAGUGCUCUUAAGAUGUCCCAGGCUUUUUCUUUGCUUCCAGGCUCACAGGUGUGUCCAGUGAAUUACAAUAUUUUGAUUAUUAUUCAGAAAGUAGGAUGGUAUAGGACACAGAAGACUGAAGAAUCCUAGAGCAGAGCAGAAUUAUAUGGGUGUACUAAGAGCUCCUUAAGCUUUUUGGUUGGAAAAAUAAUACUGGAAGACAUCUUACAAAGUGGAUGAUUUGAUCUCAGGCUUUAAGUCUAACGCCAAGGAAUCAGUGCGAGGCCUGGUGAAGUAGGAAGAGGCUGCCAACUGUCAUAUUAGUAGCACCAUGAUGACUACUUGCCUUGGAGGCUGAAGAGGUUCCAUGCAGUAGUAGGAAGCAGGAGAAGGGUGAAGAGUUAAAUUGGACAUCAGGAGCCACAUAGGUGACAGGUUAAUAGGUUAGCUAUUUUGGUUAGUUAUGUGUAAUGAAUGUCGUUGAGGAUUUCAUGAACUGUGGAAGCGUUUUUCCCUUGCAGGUUUCCAGCAAUGUUUUUGUGGUCAUACGAAAUCCAUAGGCAGUACUUCUCAGCUCCCAGCUUGACAUUAGGUCAUGUUGGCGUCAUGCUGUCUUACUACAAACCCUGGCUUUCAGGGAGCUUUCCUCAUGUUGGCAUGUCUGAGGAGCGGGUCAUUACAGAGGGGAGUUUCUGGAUGUCCUGAAGAAGUCAGUCCGACGCAUAGGAGCGCAGUUUAACUCGAUUUCUGAUUCCACCUUAAGUUCUUUCUGUAUCAUUUUAGUCAUGGUACUUGACAUCUUAUGUCUAUCCUUACUCUUUUUACUUUGGGACACUAUUUUGAAACGGCUUCUUGUCCAUUCUGCUGCUGGUUAAUCUUCCUCAUAUAAAUUUGAAAGAAAAAAACUAUAGGACGGACCAAUGGUUUCAUCUGUUUGCCAGCUCAGGGAGACCAAAACAUUCCAGAGCUGUUUCAACAAUAAAGAAUAUAACUGAAUCUAUGUACAAAGUGUUCUUUGUGUGUGCAGUUACAAACCCUUUGUACAUUUCUGUAUCAGAAUGCAAACCCUAUUUUGACUCUAAGGCUGGGCUUUUCCUCCCCUCUGCCGUUUUGUGUAGCUUGCACUAAGACUGCAAGGAAGGGCAGCACAGUCUAAGAGUCAAAGUUUGAUGGUCAUCCACUCUGAUUAAAUACUUGUAGGAUAAUUGGAUAUUAAGGUAUUAACUCCUCCCUAGGACAAACCAGUUUUCAGGUUUGGAUUCUGGGAGGACUGGGUGGGGAGACUGAGGUGUCUAAGCAACAGAUGUGGUUGGAGGAUAAAGAACAAAAGGCCUCAACAAGGCUUGUAUGAAAGCUAAUGUGUAAGGUUAAAAAAAGUCUGACCACGUACAUGCAUGUCCCGUGCUUCUCUGCAACAUGGAGAAAUCACAAGCUGCAAAAAUUUUGCCCUGCCUCCCACUUACAGCCCGAGAUGCUUCAAGGGAACUGAGGGCAGUGUGAGUAGGGCUCGUUAUUUUGCCUAGAACUUUGGGUUUGGUGCUAUAUAAAGAGUAAUAGUGCUUAGAAAUCUUAGUCUGGAUGUGUCUUUGCAUCACUACCACCUCUGUCUAAAGAGAUGAAGUGUAAAGCCAGGCUGGCAUUCUAGGAAAGGGCAUGUUUGAGGUUUGGGUAGUUCAGGAGUCAAUGUUAAUAGCCCAAGCGCAGCUAGGGUAAGCGGUCCCAUUUCUGAUGAAGGCUAUAGGCACAAAUGGCGGCAAGCUCAGCCCAGGAUCCAGCAGCCCAGUCAGUCCCCUGCCAGGAGGAGUUCAAAGA